GGCCCCUGCGGAUUGUGAGAAAGUGUGUGAUAAGACAGGAGCCAUUUCUUACCAAAUCUCACCAUUUUGGAUAGACACGGGAAUAGGACAACGAAAAAGAUCGUCUUUGUAUCCUCUGCAUUUCUCACCAAGAAACUCAAAUCCUUUAUUUUCUUUUCUUGUCAAAUCCUUCAAAUCCCAAAGGGGAGCUAAAACAUUUCCUUUCGAGUUAUUAUCGACUCCAAGAGAGCGUGGGAAAUUCACCCAACAGUCCAAAAGGAGUCAGAAAACUAACCACAUAAACCGGUUAAAUCAAUUCAACAACCUUGAGUGUUCAAGAGAGAGAACUUUCUUCCAUCAAACCUCCAGGCUCCAAGAAAAUACUAUUUCACAAUGAAUCUUACAUAUACUCCAACACACAAAACAUAAUGAACCAAAUGAUGCAUAUAUCCAACUAACACCAGCAAUAGCUUCAACAAACAGAAAGAUCAAAGUUCAGCAAGCUCUAUUAAUUAUAUUCAACGGUCAAACGGGAAAGUAGGCACAAACCUCAUGGUCGCAAUCCACAAGCUGUUGUUCACUGAGGCUCACAAGCUCUCCAGUGGCAAGAUAAUGAGCUCCUUCCAACGCUCCAGUCGUGCUAAAAGACCAACAUGAUCCACAAGAACCCUAAUUUCCCAAAAAACAAUAUAGUCAAGAUCACUUAUAUCAAUCCCGAACAACACACAUAUAUAUGUUGGAUUUGAGAGCUUAAUUCAGUCUAAUUUAUGCUUUAGUUUAUGCUUCGCUGACUAUUCGAAGUUCAAUAUUAUCUAAUCUGUAAUAAAGAGUAAUAACUGGUGAGAGUUGUCGAUGUACUCGAACCACGUAGACAAUAUCUCUUUUGUUUCCCUUUUGAACGAAAGAAACUGCAGUAAAAAUAUCCUUGUCUAGCAUUUUUUGUUUGUUCUCUUGAUUGUUCUAAGCAUGUUGCUUGUUUGUUGAUUUGAUACUAAAUAUUCAUCCUUGAAAUUUGGAUAUAUCGUUUAAAUCGGUCAAAUUUUAUAACAUUCUUCAAAUUCUCACGAAAGAUCCUUCUUUUGCCAGUAAACCAACAUUUGAUUUCAUACUGCAAAGAACAAAGUUUAAUACUUAAUUUAUACAUAUAAUUUAACUGGAGGUCUAGUCACGAACAACACACAUACACGUUGGGUCAGUAAAGCCUAGUUCGGUGUAAUUUGUGCUUCAAUAACAAAGUUUAUCAUCCGAUCUAUAGUGAAAAACUGAUGUAAGCCAUGCAUGUGCACAAUUGAACAGUUAGAAAAUCACGUAGAAAUAUCUCUGGUUUUUUCCUCGAUAGUUCUUCACCUGUUACGUGUUUGGUGAUUUGACCAUUUUCUCAAGAAUACAUACAUAUCAAAAGGAUCAAUAUAACUACAAGAUCUUUGACGCCCGUGAUGGCAAAGAUCAGGUAUUUAUGUAACUUUAACUAAUACUUGGUUUACAUUGGAGACUUAUUAGUCACAAACAACACACAUAUAUGAUGGGUUUGUGAAGCCUGAUUCAGUCUGUUUUGAACUAUUCAGGCUCAAAAUUCAAAGCAUCCUCCUACCAAUUCUUCAAAUUCUUUCACAAGGUCCAUCCUUUGCCAGUAAUCCAACACUUGAUUUCAUACUGCAAAGAGCAAAGUUUAUUACCUGAUUUUUAUAUACAACUUCUACUAAUCGGAGGCCUGGUUGUGAAGCCUGAUUCAGUCUAAUUUGUGCUGUGCUUAGUAUUAUGGCUCGGGGUUCGAUAACAAAGUUCAUAUAGUGAAAAAUGAUGUAAUCCGUGUACAGUUGGAAACAGAGCCCAAAAUUUUGAAUUUUAGCGAGCCCUCAUAUAGUGAAAAAUGAUGCAAGCCAGGACGGCAAUGAUCAGGUAUUUAUGUAUAACUUUAACUAAUACUUGGUUUACGUUGGAGACCUAGUCACAAACAACACACAUAUAUGAUGGGUUUGUGAAGCCUGAUUCAGUCUGUUUUGAGCUAUUCAGGCUCAAAAUUCAAAGCAUCCUCCUACCAAUUCUUCAAAUUCUUUCAAAAGGUCCAUCCUUUGCCAGUAAUCCAACACUUGAUUUCAUACUGCAAAGAGCAAAGUUUAUUACCUGAUUCAUAGAUAUAACUUUUACUAAUCGGAGGCCUGGUUGUGAAGCCUGAUUCAGUCUAAUUUGUGCUUUGCUUAGUAUUAUGGCUCCGGGUUCGAUAACAAAGUUCAUACAGUGAAAAAUGAUGUAAGCCGUGUACAGUUGGAAACAGAGCCAGCCCCGAACUGAAACCGAAGAGGCGGCGCUUUAGGCCCCCAAAAUCUUUAAGUUUUAGAGAGCCCUCAUAUUUUGGUACCCGUUAUAAAUAGUCUAGCAAAAAGAGCAAUCUUUAAUUUUCGCUUCCGGCUCCUGAAAAGUUAGGGGCGACUCUGGUUGAAAAAUCAGGUAAAAAUCUAUCUGUCUAGCGUUCUCCUUUCUUUCCUUAGAUGGUUCUUUGCGCCUCUUGUGUGUGUUAGUUUGACCGUUUUCUAAAAAAUACACACACAUCCAAAGGAUCAAUUUUUGUACCUGAUCUUUGACGCCGGUGACGGCGCCGUGGUCGCGCCAAUCGAAGUCAGCGGGAAGGUCAUUCGUCGGCAAAAUCGGGGCCUUCUGAGCGUCAGACGGAAGCUUAAACCUCCGCUUCAGCCCAAGGAAGUUCCUCCUGAACUCGGCCGGGGUAAGGUCCGAAAACUUGGUGACGCCGUGCACAGCCGAAGGAUCGAGCUUCUGGUGUCUCUUCGCGCGGCGCAGGUUAGCCUUGAAGACGGAGAAUCGGUAAUCGUGCUCCUCCUGGGUGGCGUAGGAUUUCCCGUGCUCGGCCUUGAAGAGGGAGAAGUGGUGGUCGGCGUUCAACAAAGGAUCCUCGUUUUGCGGGACUACUUGUUGGAUCAGGAGGUCGUCGGAAUCGUCGAGCUCAACGGCGAAACAGAGGGAGGGGAUGAGGAGGAGGAGGAGGAGAGGGAGGCGGGCCAUUGGAUGAGAGAGAGUGAGAGAGAGAG